AUUGAACGCUGGCGGCGUGCUUAACACAUGCAAGUCGUGCGGUAACAGGCGUAGCAAUACGUGCUGACGAGCGGCGAACGGGUGCGUAAUACAUGGGAAUCUGCCCUUUAGUGGGGAAUAACCCGGCGAAAGCCGGGCUAAUGCCGCAUAAGAUCUUCGGAUGAAAGCGGGGGAUCGUAAGACCUCGCGCUGAUGGAUGAGCCCAUGUCGGAUUAGCUAGNGGUGAGGUAACGGCUCACCAAGGCGACGAUCCGUAGCUGGUCUGAGAGGACGGCCAGCCACACUGGGACUGAGACACGGCCCAGACUCCUACGGGAGGCAGCAGUGGGGAAUAUUGGACAAUGGGGGAAACCCUGAUCCAGCGACGCCGCGUGUGUGAAGAAGGCCUGCGGGUUGU
rnacentral:rRNA from 1 species